rnacentral:lncRNA from 1 species
AGCCUGCCCAGUAUAGCACUACAAUAAGCUGAAUUUUAUAAAUUGGGUUUUGAGUUAAGGAAUCAAAAGCUUCAGGCUUAAGUCCCACCUCUGCCCCAGAGUCUUCUGAGCCCUCCAUUUUCACAGACGUCAGUUGCCCUAGGUGGAACUGGACUUUAAUAUUCUCCACAUCCCUUAUUUUUUCCCAAAACAGUUUACCAGCUUUUUCUUUCCUGAACCAGGAGCAAUAGCAAAAAUUGGGAAUGGGAAGAAACAGGUACCAGCCAGGACACCUGAACGAACUUGGAGCUCAGGAACCCAGGAGGGGAUUGGAGAGAGUGGGGAGACUCCAUGGUCCACAAUGAAUGCUCCUUCCCCAUCCGAAAAAAUCCCCUAGCCCAGUUUUUGGGCAGAUGCCAGACUUUUAUUCUGAAGCGUGGGCCACAACCUAUGAGGUAAUCUUUGGAGCUUCAUUCUGAGGCGGAAUCCCAUUGGCCAGUUGGGGAAGCCCCUCCCAGGAUUCCUGGCGCUCCGCCUUCCCUGAAGCCUAUAAAAGCGCAGGUCCCCGCCUCGGCAGCCACGGGACACCUGCAUCUGCCAACAAGACUGGAAGCAGGUGAGGCACACAGAGGGGGAGGCCCGCAGCUGCGUGGGAGGAGGGGUGGUCUGAGGGACGUGGGAUGCCGGGAAUGAGGCUGGUUUGCAGGUUGGCGCAUGGACAUUUUCCCAGAAAGGGACAGAGACGGCGAAGUUUGACGGUCUGGAAAGCAGAGACCAGCAGGGCUGACUGCUUGGGAGGUAAGUUCUGGGGACAUGGUACAGGGUGAGGAGCAGGUAUCAGUGCUAGUUGCGACCCCUCUGUGUCUCCCCCCCGCCACCCCAUUGCCAUUCUGAAGCUCCCCAGGAAGAAGCUAGGAGGGGAAAUAAAUUGAGUGGGGGUGGGGUUUCCCAAGAAUCGGAGGAACCGAGAACGAAGAGGGGUGGGGGAACGGGGAAAGAGAGAGGAAAAUCAAGUUUUCUUCAGCACGAGGGACAGCUCUCCACCGACCGAAGGAGGAGAAUGCUAUUUAUUUCAGCACCAAAUAUCCGGACAGCGCCUCUCGGGAGGUCCGAGAAGAGAACCGCGAUCUGUUUCAGCACCGGGGCUCAGGACAGUUCCCAGCGGGCUCCGUUUCGUCUCCAGAACCCUGGACAGCUCCUCCAGUAGAGACGGGGUUUCACCAUGUUGGCCAGGCUGGUCUCAAACUCUUGACCUCUUCAUCCGUCCACCUCAGCCUCCCAAAGUGCUAGGAUUACAGGCGUGAGUCACUGCGCCUGGCCCAAGUCCGGAAUUUUCAACAGGACAUGGGUGUUACUGUGCCCAUGUGACAUUUGGGGAACCCAAGGCCCUGAGAAAGGCAGAAAAAUAACCCACGCAGGGACUCUCAGCCCACAAGUGAAGCUGAGAACCGGGAAUGGAAAACAGGGAGGCAGCACAGAGGCAGGAAACUCAGGUGUCAUAGCUUGGCUCAGGUGAGAAGGAGGAGCUGGGCAGGGGUCUCAGACAUGGGGCAGAGGGUGGUGAAGAAGAUUAGAGUGGCUGUGGUCUAGUGCUGUGUGGAAGACUAGUGAUUUUGUUGUUCUGAUGUACUACGACAACAAGUCACAGCCGGCCUCAUAGCGCAGACUCCCUUCGACCUUCGCCUUCAAUGGGCUGGCCAGUGGGGGAGAACCGGGGAGGUCGGGGAAGAAUCGCUUCCACUCGGAGUGGGGGGGCUGGCUCACUCCAGGCGAUACAGGCACAGGCAAAGGAGGGAAGCAAACAAGGACAUACAUCCUGUGCUCAUACAGCCAUGCACCAUGUAUGGGGUUUGUCACAUCACUCGUACGCCCCCACAAGCCUGGAGAUAGAACAUACCUGACUCUAAACCCAAGACCUCUAACCACCUUAUGGCGCUUUCCUGGGAGACCCAAUGAGGGAAUGACAUUUAAAGCCCUCCCUAGACCAG